GAUGAACGCUGGCGGCGUGCCUAAUACAUGCAAGUCGAGCGAACAGACGAGGAGCUUGCUCCUCUGACGUUAGCGGCGGACGGGUGAGUAACACGUGGAUAACCUACCUAUAAGACUGGGAUAACUUCGGGAAACCGGAGCUAAUACCGGAUAAUAUAUUGAACCGCAUGGUUCAAUAGUGAAAGACGGUUUUGCUGUCACUUAUAGAUGGAUCCGCGCCGCAUUAGCUAGUUGGUAAGGUAACGGCUUACCAGGGCAACGAUGCGUAGCCGACCUGAGAGGGUGAUCGGCCACACUGGAACUGAGACACGGUCCAGACUCCUACGGGAGGCAGCAGUAGGGAAUCUUCCGCAAUGGGCGAAAGCUUGACGGAGCAACGCCGCGUGAGUGAUGAAGGUCUUCGGAUCGUAAAACCCUGUUAUUAGGGAAGAACAAAUGUGUAAGUAACUAUGCACGUCUUGACGGUACCUAAUCAGAAAGCCACGGCUAACUACGUG
rnacentral:rRNA from 1 species